rnacentral:lncRNA from 1 species
CCCCAAACCUCCCCCGUGACCAAACCAAGCUUGGUUUGCUUCAAAUCUAACUAGAAAAUUCAAAUCUCAAAUCAAGUCCUCAAGAACCGUAGAAAAUCAAGGGAUGGAAUCUGUCCAAUUUACUUUAAUCGAGGUGUUCUCAGUUAAGAACACUUAUACUAAAGUCUGUUCGACCUCAAAGGGGCCAGUCCGAGUUCGAACCUGGGUCGCCUGAGUUCUGAGGUACCUUUUUCUUUUCUUCUUGUUCUAUAUUCACGAUUCUUACCUGUUUAUCAUUUUAGUUUGGUUUUUAUUUGGCUUUUCAAUUUUUCUUUCAGUUUUUAUUCUUUCUAUUCUUCUCUGAAUCAAAGACCUUUUUAUUUGUUGUUGCUGAAUCUGUUGCUUUGCUAAGUGCUACUGCCACUACUGAUCUUUAUCUCAUUUCUUGUUUUUUCUCAAAUUCCAGGUACACAUUGUUACACUGGUACACACAAUUGAUAUAUUGGUUCAAUGUAGCUGAAACUUGAAGCAUGAAUAAAAGGAUAUGAAGAAUUGUAAUUGGAACUUAAUGUAGUUUUCUUCUCUGUCUUUGUUGGUUGUAGUUUAAGACAUUUUGUACACUUGGUAUGUAAACUUUGCCAUCAAACUGCAUACCUAAACAGUAAUUACCCUAUAGUGGGUUAGUUAGCUAAAUUUCUUAUGUAUGCUAGUUGGAAAAGAAUUAAUGAUGUAGUAGUAUUCUGCCAUCAAACGUCCCAUAUAGGCUUAAUUGAAAAUUGAUAAUGUAGCAGCCAUGUUCAUUUAC